UACGUAGGGACCAAGCGUUGUCCGGAAUCAUUGGGCGUAAAGAGCGUGUAGGCGGUUUGGUAGGUCCGCUGUGAAAACUCGAGGCUCAACCUCGAGACGCCGGUGGAAACCAUCAGGCUAGAGUCCGGAAGAGGAGAGUGGAAUUCCUGGUGUAGCGGUGAAAUGCGCAGAUAUCAGGAAGAACACCCGUGGCUAAGGCGGCUCUCUAGUACGGUACUGACGCUGAGACGCGAAAGCGUGGGGAGCGAACAGG
rnacentral:rRNA from 1 species